rnacentral:lncRNA from 1 species
GACAAAGUUGUGAGUCCGUAGUGCACGAGCGCGUGCGGGCCUGGGGAGCAGGUGUGCGGCUCCUUGCUGGAGUCUCAGUGUCCCCGCUGUUCCCUGUGCAGCCUGCGAUCGCCACUUUAGAGGAAAAGUACCCGCUUAUCCCCGCGGCAAGGCUGGGAAGCCGGGCUUACUCAGCGCUAACGGGAACGAAGGAAAAGCCUAAAGAUUAGGUUAUAAGAAAAACCGAAGCCAUGUUUCGAAGACCUGUGUUACAGGUAUUUCGUCAGUUUGUAAGACAGGAGUCUGAAGUAGCCAGCAGUUUGGUUCUUGAACGAUCUUUGAAUCGUGUUCAGUUACUUGGGCGAGUAGGUCAGGACCCUGUCAUGAGACAGGUGGAGGGAAAAAACCCAGUCACGAUAUUUUCUCUAGCAACAAAUGAGAUGUGGCGAUCAGGGGACAAUGAAGCAUACCAAAUGGGUGACGUCAGUCAAAAGACAACAUGGCACAGAAUAUCAGUGUUUCGGCCAGGCCUCAGAGAUGUGGCUUAUCAGUAUGUGAAAAAGGGGGCUCGUAUAUUUGUGGAAGGCAAAGUGGACUAUGGUGAAUACAUGGAUAAAAACAAUGUGAGGCGGCAAGCAACAACAAUCAUAGCUGAUAACAUUAUAUUUCUGAGUGACCAGGCAAGAGAAAAGCCAUAGAACGGAUGAUUCUUCGUUGAUCAUUGUUUGGUACAGUCUCCUUUGCAAAUCAUGUACAGUCUAUAGUUUAAAGACAAAAAUUAAAAUUUUUAUAUAAAAUGAGUGAUAA